AAAACCAAACAAGCCAGCCUGUGCCUGGGAUGUCCCUGGGCUCCAGGGAGGAAAAGACAGCUUUGUUAUUUGACCAGCAGCCCUGGGCAGUCUCUGGUUUUUGGUUGAGUCCCGGACCAUUGGCUUGUAUGCGACCUACAUCAAGGACUACAAAAACAGGAAGCCUGUUGUGGUGGUCUGACAUGCCUCGGUGCAUCUUAACUUUCUGCCAAGGAGCUUGGGACCACUUAGGCCCCCAAUGAGAAAAGAAGAAAAAAGUGCUUUGCUUCAGUGUCUCUUCCAAAAUUCACACUGGAAUUUAAUCUGUAGUGUAAAGUAUGCAGAGGAGGCACCAGGUCAAAGGAGACAACAGGAAGGAGUGAGGCAUUUAGCGUGGUAUCUCACACUCCGGCUGGUGGAGUUGCUUCCGAAUAGUUUAGGUCUACAGUGAUGGGUGGACAAGGAAGAAACCAAACCAAACCAAAGCCCAUGAAGGAGCAGACAUGAUUCAAGAUCACAGAAGGAAGUUUUAUGAAAGCAUAAGUAUAAAAAUAACCAAGGUGGAAA